CUACGGGGCGCAGCAGUGAGGAAUAUUGCACAAUGGGGGGAACCCUGAUGCAGCAACGCCGCGUGGAGGAUGACGCAUUUCGGUGUGUAAACUCCUUUUAUAUGCCAAGAAAAUGACGGUAGCAUAUGAAUAAGCACCGGCUAACUCCGUGCCAGCAGCCGCGGUAAUACGGAGGGUGCAAGCGUUACUCGGAAUCACUGGGCGUAAAGGACGCGUAGGCGGGUUGGAAAGUCAGGUGUGAAAUCCUACAGCUUAACUGUAGAACUGCACUUGAAACUUCUAAUCUAGAGUAUGGGAGGGGGAGAUGGAAUUAGUGGUGUAGGGGUAAUAUCCGUAGAUAUCACUAGGAAUACCUAAAGCGAAGGCGAUCUCCUGGAACAUUACUGACGCUAAGGCGUGAAAGCGUGGGGAGCAAACAGGAUUAGAUACCCGCGUAGUC
rnacentral:rRNA from 1 species